CGUCUAGCGGUUAGGACAUCGCCCUUUCACGGCGGUAACACGAGUUCGAGUCUCGUA
rnacentral:tRNA from 1 species